CAGCCGCCGCGGUAAUACGUAGGUGGCAAGCGUUGUCCGGAAUUAUUGGGCGUAAAGGGAGUGUAGGCGGUCUUUUAAGUCUGAUGUGAAAGCCCACGGCUCAACCGUGGAGGGUCAUUGGAAACUGGGAGACUUGAGUGCAGAAGAGGAGAGCGGAAUUCCAUGUGUAGCGGUGAAAUGCGUAGAUAUAUGGAGGAACACCAGUGGCGAAGGCGGCUCUCUGGUCUGUAACUGACGCUGAGGCUCGAAAGCGUGGGGAGCAAACAGGAUUAGAUACCCCUGUAGUCCCUGUCUCUUAUAC
rnacentral:rRNA from 1 species